rnacentral:rRNA from 1 species
UACGAAGGGUGCAAACGUUGCUCGGAUUUAUUGGGCGUAAAGAGCGUGUAGGCGGCCAUGUAGGUCCGUUGUGAAAACUCGAGGCUCAACCUCGAGACGCCGAUGGAAACCAUGUGGCUAGAGUCCGGAAGAGGAGAGUGGAAUUCCUGGUGUAGCGGUGAAAUGCGCAGAUAUCAGGAAGAACACCCGUGGCUAAGGCGGCUCUCUAGUACGGUACUGACGCUGAGACGCGAAAGCGUGGGGAGCGAACAGG